rnacentral:rRNA from 1 species
AUUGAACGCUGGCGGCAGGCCUAACACAUGCAAGUCGAACGAGUGGCGGACGGGUGAGCAAUGACUGUGAAACUUCCUGAUGGAGGGGGAUAGCUACUGGCAACGGUAGCUGCAACCGCCCACCAUCGGAUGUGCCCAGAUGGGAUUAGCUAGUGGGUGGGGUAAAGGCUCACCUAGGCGACGAUCCCUACCUGGUCUGAGAGGAUGACCAGCCACACUGGAACUGAGACACGGUCCAGACUCCUACGGGAGGCAGCAGUGGGGAAUAUUGGACAAUGGGCGCAAGCCUGAUGCAGCCAUGCCGCGUGUAUGAAGAAGGCCUUCGGGUUGUAAAGUACUUUAAGCGGGGAGGCGUUACCCGCAGAAGAAGCACCGGCUAACUCCGUGCCAGCAGCCGCGGUAAUUC